GGAUCAAUCGAGGCUCCUAGCCUGUAAUUCUUGAGGAUGAUUCUUUGAAGCAAGAGUUCCAUAAGCAAGUGCAUGAGACUCUUUGACUUUCAAGCUCCGAAGAAGAGUGAAACUUACCCCACUUUUAUUUACCAGUAAGUGAUAGCUGUCAGGUUCGCAGAAUGACCGAUGGAACCAACUGAAUCUGCUCUCUUGACAUGAUCGAAG
rnacentral:lncRNA from 1 species